rnacentral:tRNA from 1 species
GGGGUAUAGCUCAGUAGGGAGAGCACGUGCUUCGCAUGCAUGAGGUGAGGGGUUCGAAUCCCCUUAUCUCUGCCA